AUGGACGCGGAUCGGUCACCGUCACCGGAACCACCGGAAGCACCGGACGGCUCGGCUCUGGUUCUCGUGUCUGUCGCGCUCUUCCUCUUCCUCUUCUUCUGUCCGUUUGCGCUCCUGAGAGCCGCGGCGAACAUGACACAGUUCUGUGGGAUGAUGAAGAUGCGGCUCUCCGUGUGGAGGAUCAAAUACACUCAGAGGAGCUGCUCAUUCCUCAGAAGCUUUCACAGAUCUUUCGCGGCAGCAGCUGCAGCAGGGGAUGAUGGGAAAGGGUGUGGACCUGGUGUUUCUCUCAGUGACCUGAGGAGGGCGCCAGCGUGCAGCGGCCCGUUACCGGCCCUGAAGCCCACCGACAGCCACACGGUUCUGAUCCGGGUGAGUGUCAGAGGACAGGGGCGUCACUGCUCUAAACGAACACACUCACCUGCUCAGCGCCGCUUUGGCAAACAUCUGUAAAUCAAAACUUAACAGCUAUGUUUGAUGACACUUUGAUUCAGGAACAAAGGAUUAAUACUUUUUAAUAUGAAUUCUAAAAAUGUGAAAAGGUUUGGUUUAAUCAGUGCACAUUAUGGUAAAUCAAUAUAAGUCCAUGUCUUGACCUCAUUAAGGUGCUGAAGUGCUGAAUAAAUGAAUGAAAAGUGUGUUGUAGUUUUCUGGUUUUGUCCAGCUGAUGGCAGCAAACAUCAGUGUAUGAGGAACGAAAGCAAACUCACUGCAGAUCAUUAGACAGAAAAUACAGCUGCUGCUGCUUAUUCUGACAUUUAUUUCAAGACUUGAACUGAUUUAUAAAUAUUUAUUACUCUCUAGGAUGCCAUAUUGAAAUAUAAUAUGGGCCAAGCGAAGGGAUGGAACUUCACAGCACUAGAUUCAUACUAUAAGGUAAAGACACACACACACACUCAUACACACACACGCACACACACACACACACACACACACACACUCACACACACACACACACACACACACACACACACACACACACACNNNNNNNNNNNNNNNNNNNNNNNNNNNNNNNNNNNNNNNNNNNNNNNNNNNNNNNNNNNNNNNNNNNNACACACACACUACACUACGCACACACACACACACUACUACACACACACACACACACACACACACACACACACACACACACACACACCGUAAUGAUCCGUUAGUGCUCCCUGUUAAUGAAGCACUGCAUCCUAAUUAAACUCAUUUGGACAGUUAUUGGUGAUUCAGGGUAAACACAUUCAUUACGCCGUCUUCGGUCAUGUGACUCUCCUCCCGCUAGCAUCACUAAAUAUUUCGCUAUUGAUUUGAUGUUAUUUAUGGUACAAGUUGUCAUAAACACUUUAUUUUCCUUUGAAUUGUUACGACCCAUCAAUCAAUACUUUUAAUUAUUUAACCCAAAGAGCCAAUGUAGAAAUAUUGCAGAGAAAUCAAUACUAACAGAGCAGAAUGAAGAACAGGAAGUUCAGAAGUGCGGUUCUUCUGCUUCGUGACUGUCACACACACAGCUCUCUGCUGUAUUAUAUCUCUUUAAUUGAGCCACUUAUGCACUUAAUGAAGUCUAUUGUUAUUUUCAGCUCUGUUUUUUGAUUGAGUCUGGAUUAAUGCAUCAGUUUUGUUAGUUUCCCUUCAGUAAUUGCUGUGUUCAGGUUUUAUGUUCAGUUCUCUGAAUGAGGAGAGCAGGUUCUCUGUGUAUGAACUACAUCUGAACUCACUAUUGUCAUAAAUCCCACAUGGUUGAGAUUUUACUAAUUCACUCCCUGGAAAAAAACAUUGUACAUAUAGUUCAUUGGAUGGAGAUUCUUAAGUGCAGACAUUACUGAUAAUAUCAUUCGAAAAGUAAAUUAAACAAUUUAUAAGAUAUAUUUUAAAUUAUUUUAUUUUGCAAAGGUUCACUUAAAAAGUCGACAGUUGAAAAGUGAAGUGGUUUUUCAAGACCAUUUACUACCAUCUCUGACCUUUAAAAAUGAAUGACAUUUAAAUUAAUGUUCAGGAAUAUUAGUAUAUAUAUGUCCUGCUUCCUCUUUAAUACGUCACCUGAUCACUCGAUGGGUGUCGCUGACAGGAGAAUGUGGCGGGCAUAUGCUAAUGAGCUUGUGAUGUCAAUAUUUUGCUGAUUAGUUUCAGUAAAUUAGAGUUCUGAGUUACUACUGUAUCAGAGUACUUUAUCUCGAAUCAAAAUAUUCUUAAUCUUUUAACUUCUUAAAAAGAGGAAGUCUCCAGAUGUCAAAGGAAAGACAGUAGUAAAAAAAAGAUGACACCAAUUUGAGCUCUUAUAAGCGCAGGAUGGCUGUGCUGUCAGAAUCUGAUAAAUAUCAUGGGGUCUGUCCUCCUCCUUUAGUUUAUAUUGGUUAUUGGGCAGAGAAACUGAUGGACAGCUAAGUGUUUGUUUCUGUUUUCAUUUGGUUAACUCUAACCUUUACCUGCCAAACCUGGUGUCAGCUUCAGCGGUGGUUUGUUAAUGAUGUUCGUUUGUGCAGUAAUGAGAUUGUUCCUUUACUAAGAUGUUUCAUGAAAGGUCCCGAAUGUUUCACGUUAAACGGCGACUGUGAAGAUGUUUUAAUUGACAGGUUCAGUUUGACGGACAGGAGGAGAGGGCGGGGCCGUGCGAGUUUGAUCGACAGCGUCUGAUUGUUUGUUUUCUCUCUGUACAUUGCAGAGAGUCAUACGUACUUCACAGCAUGUAAUUGCUGCAGGCAGACUCAGCAGCAUUAUGAACAGAACUGAUGACAGAAUAAACGAUUCCUGGUGACUCCAGAUAGUGAAGGAUCUGCUGUGUGUCAGAUGUGUGUGUUUUGUUGAUUUGAAGUCUCAGCUGGCUGCUGUCCCGCUCUCCGGUUUUACAAGAUUACUGUUAUUUAUGACCUUCCUCGACUCUCGGAGUGUGUGUGUCAGUGAACAUGUCAUAAACUGCUGAUUGGGCUGUUUGAGUCUGGAGAGCGAUGGACCUGCAACUGGUGUGAUUUUAUGGGUGUUUGUGGUUUUCUGUUGUCUGAUCGUUUGGUCGGACAGCUUUGAAGAGCGCCUGCAUUUCUUCUGCUCGUUAGUGUCAAACUGUAAAAGCUCUGAAGGUCUGUCUUGACAAAAUGAAUUUCAGCUUGUCAUGGUUCGACUGUAAAUGAGAAUAAAAAUGCAGAUGUAGUAGCUGUGUGUGUUUGUGUCUGCAGAGCAGGACAGAUCAGCUUCCGAUCGGAAAUAACAUCAUUUGCCGGUUCUUGAUUGAUCAGCAGUUAGAGCUGAAUCAAGUAGCCCAUCCACCUAUUUUUAUGCACAUUUUGAAAUAUUGCAUAAAAAUGAUGGAUGGAAAUGCCAGGAUGUGCGUGUAAAAAACUUAUGCAUACAAUUGAGAAGGAUAAACUUUUCAUCCUCUAACACAAAAAGUGCAUAAACUACGAUGUAAACACAUUUACCAAAUAAAUUCCACCAUGUGCAUCGAAAAAGUCAUGUGACUUUGCGCUAUGUAAUGGGAUAACUCCACUAAUCAGCGGACCAAUCUCGUUCACAGCAUCUGAAAUGUUGUUUUGGACGUUCUGAAAAGCCUGAUAAAAGUCUGUGGUCAAAGUAUUUUCUGUAUAAAUGUCUUAUACGUCUGUGUUCCCAAACAGCAGCAUCCUCUUCCGAAAGCAUUGACAGCAUUUUCUGUGUUUCACCUGCUCACUCUGAGGCGCAAGUGAUUUAUCAUACAUGAAAAUUAUUAUAUUAAG
rnacentral:lncRNA from 1 species